GGUGGCUCAGUGGUAGAGUGCUUGCCUCAAAUGCAGGAAGCCCUGGAUUCGAUUCCUCAGCACCA
rfam:Dipodomys ordii contig_40052, whole genome shotgun sequence.